rnacentral:rRNA from 1 species
CGCCGCCCCCCUCCCCGGGGGUGUGGCCAGCGCCCGCCAGAGAACCAUCAAACUCCAGUCAGAAAACGAUGCAGUCUGAAAAAACAUUAAAUAAACUAAAACUUUCAACAACGGAUCUCUUGGUUCUGGCAUCGAUGAAGAACGCAGCGAAAUGCGAUAAGUAAUGUGAAUUGCAGAAUUCAGUGAAUCACCAAAUCUUUGAACGCACAUUGCGCCCUUUGGUAUCCCGAAGGCAUGCCUGUUCGAGCGUCAUUACAACCCUCAAGCUCUGCUUGGUAUUGGGCACCGCCCUUUGCGGGCGCGCCUCAAAGACCUCGGCGGUGGCGUCUUGCCUCAAGCGUAGUAGAACAUACAUCUCGCUUCGGAGCGCAGGGCGCCGCCCGCCGGACGAACCUUCUGAACUUUUCUCAAGGUUGACCUCGGAUCAGGUAGGGAUACCCGCUGAACUUAAGCAU